rnacentral:rRNA from 1 species
ACUCAAAGGAAUAGACGGGGGCCCGCACAAGCAGUGGAGCAUGUGGUUCAAUUCGAUGCAACGCGAAGAACCUUACCUGGGCUUGACAUAUAAGCUAAGGCCGAUGAAAGUCGGCGUUCCGCAAGGAGAGCUUAAACAGGUGCUGCAUGGCUGUCGUCAGCUCGUGCCGUGAGGUGUUGGGUUAAGUCCCGCAACGAGCGCAACCCUUGUCUUUAGUUGCUACCGGGUAAUGCCGGGCACUCUAAAGAGACUGCCUACGCAAGUAGUGAGGAAGGUGGGGAUGACGUCAAGUCCGCAUGGCCCUUACGCCCAGGGCCACACACGUGCUACAAUGGCAACUACAAAGGGCUGCGAGACCGCGAGGUGGAGCCAAUCCCUAAAAAGUUGUCUCAGUUCGGAUUGGAGUCUGAAACUCGACUCCAUGAAGCUGGAAUUGCUAGUAAUCGUGGAUCAGCACGCCACGGUGAAUACGUUCCCGGGCCUUGUACACACCGCCCGU